rnacentral:rRNA from 1 species
UACGUAGGGUGCAAGCGUUGUCCGGAAUUAUUGGGCGUAAAGAGCUCGUAGGCGGUCUGUCGCGUCGGCUGUGAAAUCCCGAGGCUCAACCUCGGGUCUGCAGUCGAUACGGGCAGGCUAGAGUUCGGUAGGGGAGACUGGAAUUCCUGGUGUAGCGGUGAAAUGCGCAGAUAUCAGGAGGAACACCGGUGGCGAAGGCGGGUCUCUGGACCGCGACUGACGCUGAGACACGAAAGCGUGGGUAGCAAACAGG